rnacentral:rRNA from 1 species
GGACUACCGGGGUUUCUAAUCCUGUUUGCUCCCCACGCUCUCGCGCCUCAGUGUCAGUAGCUGUCCAGGUAGCCGCCUUCGCCACUGGUGUUCCUUCCGAUCUCUACGCAUUUCACCGCUACACCGGAAAUUCCACUACCCUCUACAGUACUCUAGCUACGCAGUCAUCGAUGCAGUUCCUAGGUUAAGCCCAGGGAUUUCACAUCAAUCUUACGCAACCACCUACGCGCCCUUUACGCCCAGUAAUUCCGAUUAACGCUCGCACCCUCUGUAUUACCGCGGCUGCUGGCAC